rnacentral:rRNA from 1 species
AGAGUUUGAUCCUGGCUCAGGACGAACGCUGGCGGCGUGCCUAAUACAUGCAAGUAGAACGCUGAAGAGAGGAGCUUGCUCUUCUUGGAUGAGUUGCGAACGGGUGAGUAACGCGUAGGUAACCUGCCUUGUAGCGGGGGAUAACUAUUGGAAACGAUAGCUAAUACCGCAUAACAAUGGAUGACCCAUGUCAUUUAUUUGAAAGGGGCAAAUGCUCCACUACAAGAUGGACCUGCGUUGUAUUAGCUAGUAGGUGAGGUAACGGCUCACCUAGGCGACGAUACAUAGCCGACCUGAGAGGGUGAUCGGCCACACUGGGACUGAGACACGGCCCAGACUCCUACGGGAGGCAGCAGUAGGGAAUCUUCGGCAAUGGGGGCAACCCUGACCGAGCAACGCCGCGUGAGUGAAGAAGGUUUUCGGAUCGUAAAGCUCUGUUGUAAGUCAAGAACGAGUGUGAGAGUGGAAAGUUCACACUGUGACGGUAGCUUACCAGAAAGGGACGGCUAACUACGUGCCAGCAGCCGCGGUAAUACGUAGGUCCCGAGCGUUGUCCGGAUUUAUUGGGCGUAAAGCGAGCGCAGGCGGUUUGAUAAGUCUGAAGUUAAAGGCUGUGGCUCAACCAUAGUUCGCUUUGGAAACUGUCAAACUUGAGUGCAGAAGGGGAGAGUGGAAUUCCAUGUGUAGCGGUGAAAUGCGUAGAUAUAUGGAGGAACACCGGUGGCGAAAGCGGCUCUCUGGUCUGUAACUGACGCUGAGGCUCGAAAGCGUGGGGAGCGAACAGGAUUAGAUACCCUGGUAGUCCACGCCGUAAACGAUGAGUGCUAGGUGUUGGAUCCUUUCCGGGAUUCAGUGCCGCAGCUAACGCAUUAAGCACUCCGCCUGGGGAGUGCGACCGCAAGGUUGAAACUCAAAGGAAUUGACGGGGGCCCGCACAAGCGGUGGAGCAUGUGGUUUAAUUCGAAGCAACGCGAAGAACCUUACCAGGUCUUGACAUCCCGAUGCUAUUUCUAGAGAUAGAAAGUUACUUCGGUACAUCGGUGACAGGUGGUGCAUGGUUGUCGUCAGCUCGUGUCGUGAGAUGUUGGGUUAAGUCCCGCAACGAGCGCAACCCCUAUUGUUAGUUGCCAUCAUUCAGUUGGGCACUCUAGCGAGACUGCCGGUAAUAAACCGGAGGAAGGUGGGGAUGACGUCAAAUCAUCAUGCCCCUUAUGACCUGGGCUACACACGUGCUACAAUGGUUGGUACAACGAGUUGCGAGUCGGUGACGGCAAGCUAAUCUCUUAAAGCCAAUCUCAGUUCGGAUUGUAGGCUGCAACUCGCCUACAUGAAGUCGGAAUCGCUAGUAAUCGCGGAUCAGCACGCCGCGGUGAAUACGUUCCCGGGCCUUGUACACACCGCCCGUCACACCACGAGAGUUUGUAACACCCGAAGUCGGUGAGGUAACCUUUAGGAGCCAGCCGCCUAAGGUGGGAUAGAUGAUUGGGGUGAAGUCGUAACAAGGUA